rnacentral:rRNA from 1 species
CUCAGGAUGAACGCUAGCUACAGGCUUAACACAUGCAAGUCGAGGGGCAGCAUUUUAGUUUGCUUGCAAACUAAAGAUGGCGACCGGCGCACGGGUGAGUAACACGUAUCCAACCUGCCGAUAACUCGGGGAUAGCCUUUCGAAAGAAAGAUUAAUAUCCGAUAGUAUAUUAAAACCGCAUGGUUUUACUAUUAAAGAAUUUCGGUUAUCGAUGGGGAUGCGUUCCAUUAGUUUGUUGGCGGGGUAACGGCCCACCAAGACUACGAUGGAUAGGGGUUCUGAGAGGAAGGUCCCCCACAUUGGAACUGAGACACGGUCCAAACUCCUACGGGAGGCAGCAGUGAGGAAUAUUGGUCAAUGGACGAGAGUCUGAACCAGCCAAGUAGCGUGAAGGAUGACUGCCCUAUGGGUUGUAAACUUCUUUUAUAUGGGAAUAAAGUAUUCCACGUGUGGGAUUUUGUAUGUACCAUAUGAAUAAGGAUCGGCUAACUCCGUGCCAGCAGCCGCGGUAAUACGGAGGAUCCGAGCGUUAUCCGGAUUUAUUGGGUUUAAAGGGAGCGUAGGUGGAUUGUUAAGUCAGUUGUGAAAGUUUGCGGCUCAACCGUAAAAUUGCAGUUGAAACUGGCAGUCUUGAGUACAGUAGAGGUGGGCGGAAUUCGUGGUGUAGCGGUGAAAUGCUUAGAUAUCACGAAGAACUCCGAUUGCGAAGGCAGCUCACUAGACUGCAACUGACACUGAUGCUCGAAAGUGUGGGUAUCAAACAGGAUUAGAUACCCUGGUAGUCCACACAGUAAACGAUGAAUACUCGCUGUUUGCGAUAUACAGUAAGCGGCCAAGCGAAAGCAUUAAGUAUUCCACCUGGGGAGUACGCCGGCAACGGUGAAACUCAAAGGAAUUGACGGGGGCCCGCACAAGCGGAGGAACAUGUGGUUUAAUUCGAUGAUACGCGAGGAACCUUACCCGGGCUUAAAUUGCAUUUGAAUAAUCUGGAAACAGGUUAGCCGCAAGGCAAAUGUGAAGGUGCUGCAUGGUUGUCGUCAGCUCGUGCCGUGAGGUGUCGGCUUAAGUGCCAUAACGAGCGCAACCCUUAUCUUUAGUUACUAACAGGUGAUGCUGAGGACUCUAGAGAGACUGCCGUCGUAAGAUGUGAGGAAGGUGGGGAUGACGUCAAAUCAGCACGGCCCUUACGUCCGGGGCUACACACGUGUUACAAUGGGGGGUACAGAAGGCAGCUACCUGGCGACAGGAUGCUAAUCCCAAAAACCUCUCUCAGUUCGGAUCGAAGUCUGCAACCCGACUUCGUGAAGCUGGAUUCGCUAGUAAUCGCGCAUCAGCCAUGGCGCAGUGAAUACGUUCCCGGGCCUUGCACUCACCGCCCGUCA